AUGGUUUGAGGAGGAAGGAAGGGCCUGUGAGGUGGGCCUCUCUGUUACUUUACUAAGCUUUUGCUGCUGACUGUACCUCAUUUCUCUGCAGUUGUAAGACUUACUCUUAGAGGAUUUUUGUCCCAGAAUGAAUAGUGCAGCGUAAGUUUGGUUGCUUUGACAUGUGGAAUCAUUGCCUUAAAGCAGUCUUCCCUCCGCACCCACAGACUGCACUACUGAGUGGCAAUUCUUUGCUUUUCUGCAGAGUGCAGGAAGCAGGAAUGGGCAUUGUGUACGCCGAGGAGGAAGUGUGACUUCUGUCCUAUUCGUUUCCCUCUGAAUUGCUGGCAUGGAGAGGUUAUCCAGGUAGCACUGCCCAAGUGCUGGGUAGUGAAAUGGAGAGAGGCCAGAGUGAAGAGGACUAUUGUGCAUGCAGGACUAGUAUCUUGUGAUGACAACAUUAUUACCUGGUAACGUUUAGAAUUGAAACAUUUUCAUGUUCCUGUUAAAUUGCCCAUCAUCAGUUCAAGCUCAUGACUUUAUCUUCUUCCUGCUCUAAUUAAUGAAUGUUGGCCUUCCAUUGUCACAAGUGCCUGCAUACAAAUUAUUGGCAUAUUGCGUGUACCCCUCAGGGAUGAGGUUGGGAAGGGCAAUUGCAAGCUGUAUUGUGACUGGCAAAGCAAUGUUGGCAUUUAUAACAUCAGCAACAGUAUACUGGAACAUGCUUCACCAAACUAAAGUGACGUUUAGUUGGCUAAAAAAGUGGUUAGGCAGGGAUGGCACGUACAAUUCUAUAUCUGCAAUUUGCUUCCUGCAUGUGAGUCUCAUGGCUGAUGAAUGAUGCUGUGAAAGUGAUUGUUACUUUGGAAGAUACUAUCAGUCUAGAUUGCAAGGUUGGUUCCAUGUUUCAAGGUCCUUCUUCUUAAUGUGUUUGCAAAGUUUGAUGGUUUAGGAGAACGAAAAAAUACUUCCACUUAUGAGAACUGAAAUGGUAAUAUGGCCAUAGAAAACAUCUCCAAACAACUCAGAAAUGAAACAUGAAGUCAACUGAGAAAAGCUGUGGUUGAAUCUGUGGGGGCCUAGCCAUUGGUCACUCCUGAACACCUGCUGCAUGCUAAAGGAAGUGUCUUGAUUGCUGCUUUUCACUAGAUGAAAAGCCAAGUGCGUUCUUUUCUAUGGUGCGCAGACUGCCCUCUUUUGGAUGUCAUUAGAACUGGCUUAAUUGUCAAGACUGCAGUACAAGUACUUGAAGUUCUGCUUUGCCUGUAGAAGCUGUUGAAUUUCCAUGGAUAGCUGUGGUGGGGCACCAUCUUGAUAUCAAAUUCUAUGUAGCUGUGGCUUUUCUAUGACAGUAAUAAUUGACAUUUUCCGUAGGGUAUGAAAUUAGUUGCAUUAAAGUUUUAAAUAUAUGCAAAUUGU